rnacentral:rRNA from 1 species
GACGAACCUUGCUAACGUUAUUCGGAAUUACUGGGCUUAAAGGGCGCGUAGGCGGCCACCGCAAGUCGACUGUGAAAUCUCCGGGCUUAACCCGGAAAGGUCAGCCGAUACUGCGGGGCUAGAGUGCAGAAGGGGCAACUGGAAUUCUUGGUGUAGCGGUGAAAUGCGUAGAUAUCAAGAGGAACACCUGCGGCGAAGGCGGGUUGCUGGGCCGACACUGACGCUGAGGCGCGAAAGCUAGGGGGAGCGAACGGGG